AUUGAACGCUGGCGGCAGGCCUAACACAUGCAAGUCGAGCGGAUGAAGGGAGCUUGCUCCUGGAUUCAGCGGCGGACGGGUGAGUAAUGCCUAGGAAUCUGCCUGGUAGUGGGGGAUAACGUCCGGAAACGGGCGCUAAUACCGCAUACUUCCUGAGGGAGAAAGUGGGGGAUCUUCGGACCUCACGCUAUCAGAUGAGCCUAGGUCGGAUUAGCUAGUUGGUGGGGUAAAUGCCUACCAAGGCGACGAUCCGUAACUGGUCUGAGAGGAUGAUCAGUCACACUGGAACUGAGACACGGUCCAGACUCCUACGGGAGGCAGCAGUGGGGAAUAUUGGACAAUGGGCGAAAGCCUGAUCCAGCCAUGCCGCGUGUGUGAAGAAGGUCUUCGGAUUGUAAAGCACUUUAAGUUGGGAGGAAGGGCAGUAAGUUAAUACCUUGCUGUUUUGACGUUACCAACAGAAUAAGCACCGGCUAACUUCGUG
rnacentral:rRNA from 1 species